rnacentral:rRNA from 1 species
GGGGGGGGGGGGGGGGGGGGGGGGGGGGGGGGGGGGGGGCGGGGGGGGGGGGGGCGGGGGCGGCGGGGGGGGGCGGCGGGCGGGGGAGUGACGCGUGGGGAACCUAGCGCUACGACUGGGGUAGCUUCGGGAAACCGGAGCGAAGACCGGGGGAUAUCUUGAACCGCAUGGGUCACUAGUGAAAGACGGUUUUGAUGUCCCUUAUAGAUGGAUCCGCGCCGCAUUCGCUAGUGGGUAAGGUAACGGCGUACCAAGGCAACGACGCGUAGCCGCCCUGAGAGGGUGAUCGGCCACACUGGAACUGAGACACGGUCCAGACUCCUACGGGAGGCAGCAGUAGGGAAUCGUCCGCAAUGGGCGAAAGCCUGACGGAGCAACGCCGCGUGAGUGAUGAAGGUCGUCGGAUCGUAAAACUCUGUUAUUAGGGAAGAACAAAUGUGUAAGUAACUAUGCACGUCUUGACGGUAGCUAAUCAGAAAGCCACGGCUAACUACGUG